GACGAACGCUGGCGGCGUGCUUAACACAUGCAAGUCGAACGGAAAGGCCCUGCUUUUGUGGGGUGCUCGAGUGGCGAACGGGUGAGUAACACGUGAGUAACCUGCCCUUGACUUUGGGAUAACUUCAGGAAACUGGGGCUAAUACCGGAUAGGAGCUCCUGCUGCAUGGUGGGGGUUGGAAAGUUUCGGCGGUUGGGGAUGGACUCGCGGCUUAUCAGCUUGUUGGUGGGGUAGUGGCUUACCAAGGCUUUGACGGGUAGCCGGCCGGAGAGGGUGACCGGCCACAUUGGGACUGAGCUACGGCCCAGACUCCUACGGGAGGCAGCAGUGGGGAAUAUUGCCCAAUGGGCGGAAGCCUGAUGCAGCAACGCCGCGUGCGGGAUGACGGCCUUCGGGUUGUAAACCGCUUUCGCCUGUGCCGAAGCGUGAGUGACGGUACUGGGUAAAGAAGCACCGGCUAACUACGUG
rnacentral:rRNA from 1 species